GCUUAACGCGAAGAACCUUACCAACCCUUGACAUGUGUAUCGCGGUUCCAGAGAUGGUUCCUUCAGUUCGGCUGGAUACAACACAGGUGCUGCAUGGCUGUCGUCAGCUCGUGUCGUGAGAUGUUCGGUUAAGUCCGGCAACGAGCGCAACCCACACUUUCAGUUGCCAUCAUUCAGUUGGGCACUCUGGAAGAACUGCCGGUGAUAAGCCGGAGGAAGGUGUGGAUGACGUCAAGUCCUCAUGGCCCUUACGGGUUGGGCUACACACGUGCUACAAUGGUGGUGACAAUGGGUUAAUCCCCAAAAGCCAUCUCAGAUCGGAUUGGGGUCUGCAACUCGACCCCAUGAAGUCGGAAUCGCUAGUAAUCGCGUAGCAGCGUGACGCGGUGAAUACGUUCCCGGGUCUUGUACACACCG
rnacentral:rRNA from 1 species